rnacentral:tRNA from 1 species
GGCCCUAUCGUCUAGCGGUUAGGACGUCAGCUUUUCACGCUGAAAACCCCAGUUCGAUUCUGGGUAGGGUCA